GUGGGGAAUCUUGCGCAAUGAGCGAAAGCCUGACGCAGCCAUGCCGCGUGAAUGAUGAAGGUCUUAGGAUUGUAAAAUUCUUUCACCGGGGACGAUAAUGACGGUACCCGGAGAAGAAGCUCCGGCUAACUUCGUGCCAGCAGCCGCGGUAAUACGAAGGGGGCUAGCGUUGCUCGGAAUUACUGGGCGUAAAGUGCGCGUAGGCGGACAGCUUAGUCAGAGGUGAAAGCACAGGGCUCAACCGUGGAAUUGCCUUUGAUACGAGGUGUCUUGAGUUUCGGAGAGGUGAGAGGAACUCCGAGUGUAGAGGUGAAAUUCGUAGAUAUUCGGAAGAGCACCAGUGGCGAAGGCGACUCACUGGCCCAAUACUGACGCUGAGUCGCGAAGGCGUGGGGAGCAAACAGGAUUAGAUACCCCUGUAGUCC
rnacentral:rRNA from 1 species